CUGCAGCCAAUUAAGCCGACCUAGUUCCUUUCCUCUUUGGGGCCUGGUGUUCAAUAGCUGCAAAUGGCAGCUUCCUUGGUAGUGUAUGCAGCCUGUUUCUUGUAUGGGUUGCUCUAAGGGACCUUGGAGACAGCC
ensembl:snoRNA SNORA70 Small nucleolar RNA SNORA70